CUUCCACCUUACUCAUAUUCAAGUGAGAAGCUCAAAGUGUACCUGAAAUGGGAAUGAAGAAGAAAAGACCUUGUACUGAGGAAGGAAAGUGCCUCUCACAUAACUGCAGAUCUGGAGUUUGUCAUUGAAGGCUUUAUUCUGCCUGGGUUCCUUCCUGUGCUGCCUACUCUCCGUUUCCUGGUGCCAUGCUGCGCAGCCACAUACUCCGCCACGAUGAUGGAUUGAACCCUUCGAGUUCAUAAACAAAAUAAACCUUCCUUUCUUGGAUUCCGUCUCAAGCGCUUUGAUGAAAGCCGCACAAAGUUGAG
ensembl:lncRNA